UACGAGGGGGGCGAGCGUUGUUCGGAAUUAUUGGGCGUAAAGGGUGCGUAGGCGGUUUGGUAAGUCUUAUGUGAAAUCUACAGGCUCAACUUGUAGUCUGCAUGAGAAACUGCCGGGCUUGAGUAUGGGAGAGGUGAGUGGAAUUCCUGGUGUAGCGGUGGAAUGCGUAGAGAUCCGGAAGAACACCAGUGGCGAAGGCGGCCCGCUGGGCAGUGGCUGACGCUGAGGCGCGACAGCGUGGGGAGCAACAGG
rnacentral:rRNA from 1 species